CUUAAUGGAGAAGAUGAGGAAGAAAACAUCUCUAUCAAAGGAGACAUCACUGGAGUGAUGAGUUUCGGCUGGAAUACUUCGUCAUGUCAGUCUGGUUCGAAUAGAGAAGAUGAGGAAAGAGAACUUCUACAUCAGAGGAUGUAAGAGGUGAGCUGAAACAGAGAAUUUAGAUGGAUCUACAAAUAUUCACAACAAUGAAUUACCUCCUUGGAAGCUAUAGGACAGCAGGACCAGACAGACGGCUAUGGACACAUGCAAUUUUUCUUUUUUUUACAAUGCUGUAUGCAUGUAAUCACAUUGAGACAUAUGACGACACAAACAUGAUUAGACCAUGCACCAUUUUUGGAACAUUAUGGGGUCUUUGACACAGCGCAGAUUGGAGGCCAUGUAUCUGUGCUCAUUGGAUCCAUAGGGUUAUACGGUGGCGUCCCUUAAUCCCAAUAGGACCUGCUGUCCCCGAACUUGAAGUCAAGGUAACCACGCCCCCAAACCGUCCCCUCAGCCUGCAGUGCGGUCGCGAUUCCCCAAGUCUCGCGCAUGCGUGGUGCGCUCUGUAGUAAUGCGCUAUCCCAUCUCCUGCUGCCGCUGUUAGCCGGGUUUCAGCAGCGCAAUGCACAUGCGCGUGGUUACCUUGACUUGAAGCAAGGAGGCUGCUGCCCCCUUGACUUCUAGCUGGCCGACACUAUAGCGCUGAUGGAGAAUAAAACUGCGUUUUUUGAACUUACACAGCAUCGGACAACAGGAUGAAACAUAUGAUUAUUAACAGGCUACUAUGAGUUAUUGCUGGUGGGUGUAGAUGCAUUUUUGAAGUGACAGGUUCCCUUUAAGAGCUUACUUGCAUCCCUUUCUUCCCAGAAUUCCAGAGGAGCAUGUAUGGCCUACACUGUGUAGUUCUGGAUGCCGGCAACCUGCAGCUCAGCUCCCAUUCACUUGAAUGGGAGCUGAGUAGUAGUACCACGGCACGGUCACUGCACAGUGGACAGAACCUUGUGCUUCCUUUCCCUAUAAUGUAUAGUGGGGUCCAGGCUGUUGGACUCCUACCAAUCUCAUAUUGAUGACCCAUACUGAGAAUUGCCCAGAGGAGAUCAAGUAAA